UGUAUUCAUGUUCCCUAGGUAGUCAGAAUCUGAGCAACAUGCUUUUUUUUUUUUUUUUUUUUUUUUUUUUUGUAGAAUGUGCUGGCAACUUCUCUGUGGGAGUAACAGUGUAGAGUGGUUAGGGAGCUGUAUGCUCGCACUGGCAUGCAUGUGCAGCUGUAUCUCUGCCUGAACAAACCGGGGUAAAAACAUGCUAAUGCAUGGACCAAUUAUAUCUAUCAAUAAGAUAGCUAACUGAUUUAAUGACCUGUCUGAAAUGCACUGUAGGAGAGGAGUAUGCCACUAGUUUUUGCAGAAUGCAUACCUAUGCAACAUAUGACUGCUAGCAUAAGGUGCCAGUGUGUAAAAAAUGUCAAAUGGCUAAAUAGCUUGCAGUAGCCAUACUACUUUUUUCACUCCAGAUACUGUUUUCCCCAGAUCAAGAAUCUCAUACCUUGGAGGAGAUUUUGGGUGCAAGGGAGAUACUGCAGCAUUCACAUGCAGAUUUUUUAGCUGUGAAGGAUAAGCUUGCUCUUGCUGUCUGAAGGAAAGCCAGCUUGAAACUUGGUGUAUGUUGCCAGCUGCUCUAAUUCCACACGUAGCCGGAAGUUCCUAGCAGUGUGACCACCUGAAGUUGAGAGGAAGGUGAAUCUGUCUUCUUGGGAAGACAGUGAGUGACCAGGGUAAUUAACAGGUAACUCCCAGUACAGGUAAGCUGUUAAGAUAAUGGUGCUUAAAAUCAACUCACUCUGAAUUUAGAGAGUGUUUUUAAUUUAAAGAAAACAUGUUAUAUGUUGCUUAGAGUAGGGAAUGGUCGUCUCUUUCUUUGUCCUGUCUUAGAUAUCUGCAUCUACAGUAGAAAGGUAUUUUGCGGGAAGAACUGCAAGAUGAUACAGGAUAUGGUUGAGAGAACAGAUACUGUUAAUGAAUGGCUAUGUAGUUACUAGUAGGUACUCUUCCUUUCAGCAGCCAGUGAGAAUAAAGAGCAUCUAGUAUGGGAGAGCUGUUAACAUGGUGGUAGUCUCCUGAAUUAAGAGCAAAAAAUAAAUAAAAAGCUUUCAGCAUAAUUAUGUACUGUCUGAAGUUCCAUGUGGUUGUGAAUUAAGUAGUAUUAAUGGAGAAGUAAAUUCUUUUUUGUCUGCCUUGUGAGUUUGCUUUCUGUAGUUAUAAACAAAACACUUGUAAAAUAUUGCUUAUACCUGGCUUCUAACCUAAAAGCAAAACUAGUAUUGGGGCUUUUGUGCUGCCAUACCUGUAGUGAGCAGCCUCUUUAUGGAAGUGAAUAGCAGUACUUCAGGCACUAGUGUAUCCAGGUAGCUAGUUGGACUGUAGUUGUGUAAAGUAGAAACUAUAUGAUGCAAUAUCAUCAUAGACUGUCACUUUAUAAUUGAGGCAAACAUCUUAGCUGCAGGAUGAACCUUCUUUGAAAGAGGUCUGGUGACUCAGGAGAUGCUUAUGGAGUGAGUUAGCCUUCAUGCAAAGACUUGCAAGUUUCGCUGAAAAUUUGAAAGAUGCUUACAAAGCACAGAUGGUAUCUCUUACUUGGGUUGGAAAGAGUAAUUUUUGCAUUUGAUCAGACUCCAACAGGCUCAGUUGUAGAUGUCUUUAGUAUUUCAUCUGUUAUGAUUGCAAGGAGACUUUGUUAACAUUUGUGGAAGUGUGCUUUGGGUUGUUCAGCAAAAUGGCAGAAGAACAGCAGUCCAAGCCUUGUCCUCCUGACCCACCCCACCUGGGACUGCAAACUGCACUUUGACACUUCAAAUCUUUUUAUAACUCUAAAGUCAAUUCCUCUUGGGUCAAAAUCUGGGAAUCCAAAGUAUAGAAGAAAUGAGAACUGAGUGUUAUGGUGGCAUUUUGUUUUGUGUUUUUUCCCAUGUUGCUUCUAGCUAAUAUGUUUUACAGUUGUCCUUAAGAAAGAAGAAAUAAGACUGCCUGAGGGGAUGUUGCUCCCUGCAUCAAAGUCACCUUCUCGCAGACUGGAGUAGAGAAGAACAUACAUUGUUUGAGGAUUGUGUAAAUGAGGAUUAAAGAUGUAAAAAUAUUUUUCUUGAACUUCUUGAUACUGGGUGCUCAUUUCUUUUUGCUUAUAGUAACUGAGCAAA